UACGUAGGUGGCAAGCGUUGUCCGGAUUUACUGGGUGUAAAGGGCGUGCAGCCGGAGAGACAAGUCAGAUGUGAAAUCCACGGGCUCAACCCGUGAACUGCAUUUGAAACUGUUUCCCUUGAGUGUCGGAGAGGUAAUCGGAAUUCCUUGUGUAGCGGUGAAAUGCGUAGAUAUAAGGAAGAACACCAGUGGCGAAGGCGGAUUACUGGACGAUGACUGACGUUGAGGCUCGAAAGCGUGGGGAGCAAACAGG
rnacentral:rRNA from 1 species